AUACGGAGGGUGCAAGCGUUACUCGGAAUCACUGGGCGUAAAGCGCGCGCAGGCGGUCUUUUAAGUUGGAUGUGAAAGCCUACGGCUCAACCGUAGAACUGCAUCCAAAACUAUUUGGCUAGAGUGUGGGAGAGGAAGAUGGAAUUAGUUGUGUAGGGGUAAAAUCCGUAGAGAUAACUAGGAAUACCAAAAGCGAAGGCAAUCUUCUGGAACACUACUGACGCUGAGGCGCGAAAGCGUGGGGAGCAAACGGGAUUAGAAACCCUAGUAGUCC
rnacentral:rRNA from 1 species